GGCAGUGUAGUAUAAUGGCUAAGGAGUUGGUCUUGUAACCUAAAGGUCGCAGGUUCGAUUCCCCCGGUAGGACACUGCCG
rnacentral:tRNA from 1 species